CCCAUGGAAAUAACACAAUAUGACUGAUGCUCCUUUGCAUAAACUCCAGCAUGGCUGAAUCCAAGGAACAGUGGAGAUCCAGGUGCUGAGGAAAAAGCAAAAGAAUAAGAAAAGAGGUGAAAGAACUUGUAACCAAGAUUGCUUGUGUCAGAUUCUGGAUGAACACCAAGGUCCCAUUUCCAUUGCUAUUGGGAAUCUUUUAACAACAGGAAGAUGAAUCUGUGAAGAAAGAAACAUACAAAGCUACAAGAUGGAGAGUGGAUGGGGCAAGAAUGAGCAGAAGACCCCUCUCAAUUCUUCCAUGAGUGGAAGGGAAGAAAUUGUCCUGAGCCACAGACUAUUUCUGCUCUUUUAAGG